UUUUGAAAGAAAAAAACGGUCAAAGUCUAGUUCUAACCGGACACGUUUUUGUUGUGAGUGCGUUUAAACCAAUGAGUUGAAAAGCGGACGGUAACCAUAGCAACGGUGUGUAAUUCCGAGGCCAGAAAAAACAAUUAACAAUCGCCAUCUUUUGGGCAGAUUCUCGUGAAUUAAUCAAAUACUAUGUCUAGUAAUAAAACAUUGGGAAAUUUAUUUAAACAAAUCUUUCAUUUAAUGUGAACUGAAAAUAAAACCCUUUUUUAUGUUCUAUAAUAAGUUGAUUUAAUCUAAUAUUCUGUAAAUCAUGACUAAAAGUAUUUAACCAUUGUAAAGCAUUACCAGUGCUUGUAAAUAUAAAAUAAUAUUAAAAUGUAGCGUUAAAAUUUGUUUUGACAAAAAAUGACAAAAUGAUUCGUCCAAAGUGACACAAAAAAAAAAUUUAAAAAACCAGAAAAUAUUAUGGCCCGUAGAGGGCACGUAAGUAGCAAAAUUCUGUCGAUUCAACGAAGUGUCAACAUCUGACAACGUCGCUGCCUUUACUAGUUCUCAGUCUUUUUCACGUUGAAUUUCUUUGGAAAAGUAAGUCGUUCUCGAGUUUCUUUCCAUUCAUUUCAUCUCUCUUCAUCCUUUCUUUGGACGCAGGACUUGUCAUCAAGUCGUUUGAUACCAACAACCUC